rnacentral:rRNA from 1 species
UACAGAGGGUGCGCGCGUUAAUCGGAAUUACUGGGCGUAAAGCGCACGUAGGUGGUUUAGUAAGUCGGAUGUGAAAUCCCCGGGCUUAACCUGGGAACUGCAUUCGAAACUGCUUUACUAGAGUAUGGGAGAGGACAGUGGAAUUUCAGGUGUAGCGGUGAAAUGCGUAGAUAUCUGAAGGAACAUCAGUGGCGAAAGCGACUGUCUGGACCAAUACUGACGCUCAUGUGCGAAAGCGUGGGGAGCAAACAGG